rnacentral:lncRNA from 1 species
CUACAACCCCCAAUUUCACCUAGGCUUGGGACGCCUUUCCCUUGUUCCAAGUCCCUUGACUGGAACAAGCACAAUAACCAAAGGUUUUACAAAAGAUUUGAAAGCUCUAAAUAAGCAGAUAAAACAGUGAGAAAUAACAAAACCCGGAAGAACCCUUUUAGCCGUUGGAAGCAUGGGAAAUGGUGGUUCUUCCGAUGUAGAUCGCGUUGUCUUGAAUGUGAGCUUUGAAUGCCGAUCGGGAGAGAGUAGUUGAG